UACGAAGGGUGCGAGCGUUAAUCGGAAUUACUGGGCGUAAAGCGUGCGCAGGCGGCUUUGCAAGACAGAUGUGAAAUCCCCGGGCUCAACCUGGGAACUGCAUUUGUGACUGCAUAGCUAGAGUACGGUAGAGGGGGAUGGAAUUCCGCGUGUAGCAGUGAAAUGCGUAGAUAUGCGGAGGAACACCGAUGGCGAAGGCAAUCCCCUGGACCUGUACUGACGCUCAUGCACGAAAGCGUGGGGAGCAAACAGG
rnacentral:rRNA from 1 species